AAAGGAAGAGACAACUAGCAGAACCGGUAGUGAUCUUUUCCUGAAACGAUCCAAGACUUGGCCAAAAUAAAAACCUUCUUCCGAUGCCAUGCUAAAGGUAUUUCGAAUUAGCUGCGAUCUGGCUAGGUCAAAUCAAUAUUUCUUCUCCGUGGCAUGGGACACGAUUAUUCCGUAAAGCGGACCAGAGAUGCUUUUCCUGGGACACAAUGCUUUGUUCUCUCGAGUCUUUAGGACUUCAGGAGGUAGGCAGUAGGUGGACAUACCAUCACUUGUAGACUCCACCAAGUCAUCCACCCAUGAGCUAAAGGACCAUGAAAAUGCAAUUUUCUCCCGCCUACGUACCUCGUGUCUGUUUCCAGCUUCCGCUUCUUUUACCCCAUGGAGCGUGUUCGGACCGACAUUAUUGCUCCAGCGGAAGAAAAACAGCAUCUUCCACACUUGUUCAGGGGAAAGAAACCAUUCUAAAGACGCGGAUGAAGUCAUUCUUUCAUGACUGAUUCAACGAAGACUUCCUUCUUCCAUCUCUCUCUUCUGUCUCUAGAGUUUAUUUCUUAGAGAUAGUGAUUGCCUCCUACCUCCUAAUUCUAUUUUCCGGCAGGACAGCGCUUUCCUGGAAGUUUCUUAUAGACUGUCGUCGACAACCUGCUUGCCUAAUGCCUACAAGUAGGAAGUGUUCGCGGAUGUUGGACGGGGCAAGUUUCGUGGUUGGGAAUAGGAUGGCUUGGAAGGCUCUUCACAUUCUCUCCAUGCUCCUGCUACUUUCAAGCACUACUCUCGUCUCCCUUGCCCGUGAUACCGGCGUUGUAGCAAGCCCACCUUCGCCACUACGUCAGAAGGAAGGACCCGGCGCGAAUCUUCCCUGUGCAGCAAAUCACAUCACAGGUCAUCCAUGCCCUUCGUCCGGGGGCUCGAAAAACCAUGCGUUUAACGCGCAACCCCCCCCAGUUGUUCGCCAAAUGUAUACAAAGGGAUGCAAAAGUAUUUAUAGCUGCCGUAGAUGACGCUAGAAUUCAAUCCCAAAGAACAUGCAAGAACGGUCUUUUAUCGUGUGUAUUCUCGCGCGCCGGCAUAUAUAUAUCUGGCCAAAAUAAAUUUCCUCAAUCCUCCUCUCCGUUAAUACUAUGUUUCAAACAAUUCAAAUAUAAAGGUUUAGUAAUUUGAGUUUUGAACUAAAAAUAAAUUUGAAAUGCUUUGGCCUGA